UACGUAGGGGGCAAGCGUUGUCCGGAUUUAUUGGGCGUAAAGAGCGUGUAGGCGGCCAUACAGGUCAGCUGUGAAAACUCGAGGCUCAACCUCGAGACGUCGGUUGAAACCGUAUGGCUAGAGUCCGGAAGAGGAGAGUGGAAUUCCCGGUGUAGCGGUGAAAUGCGCAGAUAUCGGGAAGAACACCUAUGGCGAAGGCAGCUCUCUGGGACGGUACUGACGCUGAGGAGCGAAAGCAUGGGGAGCGAACAGG
rnacentral:rRNA from 1 species